rnacentral:rRNA from 1 species
GUCUCCGGCCAUACCACCCUGAAUGUGCCCGGUCAUGUCUGAUCUCAGAAGCUAAGCAGGGUCGGGCCUGGUUAGUACUUGGAUGGGAGACCAUAUGAAGAUGGUUUCAUUUAUGGAAUCU